CUUGUACUACCUACGGGGCGCAGCAGUGAGGAAUAUUGGUCAAUGGGCGAGAGCCUGAACCAGCCAAGUCGCGUGAGGGAAGAAUGGUCCAUGGCCUGUAAACCUCUUUUGUCAAGGAAGAAUAGACGGCACGCGUGCUGUUUUGCCAGUACUUGACGAAUAAGCAUCGGCUAACUCCGUGCCAGCAGCCGCGGUAAUACGGGGGAUGCGAGCGUUAUCCGGAUUUAUUGGGUUUAAAGGGCGCGUAGGCGGGACGGCAAGUCAGCGGUAAAAGACUGCAGCUAAACUGUAGCACGCCGUUGAAACUGUUGACCUCGAGACGAGACGAGGGAGGCGGAACAAGUGAAGUAGCGGUGAAAUGCAUAGAUAUCACUUGGAACCCCGAUAGCGAAGGCAGCUUCCCAGGCUCGUUCUGACGCUGAUGCGCGAGAGCGUGGGUAGCGAACAGGAUUAGAUACCCUGGUAGUCCACGCCGUAAACGAUGCUCACUGGAUCUUGGCGAUACACUGCCAGGGUUCAAGCGAAAGUAUUAAGUGAGCCACCUGGGGAGUACGUCGGCAACGAUGAAACUCAAAGGAAUUGACGGGGGCCCGCACAAGCGGAGGAACAUGUGGUUUAAUUCGAUGAUACGCGAGGAACCUUACCCGGGCUUGAAUUGCAACUGAAUGAUGUGGAGACAUGUCAGCCGCAAGGCAGUUGUGAAGGUGCUGCAUGGUUGUCGUCAGCUCGUGCCGUGAGGUGUCGGGUUAAGUCCCAUAACGAGCGCAACCCUUACCGUUAGUUGCUAGCAUGUAAUGAUGAGCACUCUAACGGGACUGCCACCGUAAGGUGAGAGGAAGGCGGGGAUGACGUCAAAUCAGCACGGCCCUUACACCCAGGGCUACACACGUGUUACAAUGGCCGGUACAGAGGGCCGCUACCAGGUGACUGGAUGCCAAUCUCAAAAGCCGGUCGUAGUUCGGAUUGGAGUCUGUAACCCGACUCCAUGAAGUUGGAUUCGCUAGUAAUCGCGCAUCAGCCAUGGCGCGGUGAAUACGUUCCCGGGCCUUGUACACACCGCCCGUCAAGCCAUGGAAGCCGGGGGUGCCUGAAGUCCGUAACCGCGAGGAUCGGCCUAGGGCAAAACUGGUAACUGGGGCUAAGUCGUAACAAGGUAGCCGUACCGGAAGGUGCGGCUG
rnacentral:rRNA from 1 species